AGUUUUGGUGAAGGGAGAAGAAGAUAGUUGAAGGGGGUGUGAAAAGAACAAAGAGGUAUUGUUCUGAAUAAUGAUAAGAAAGAAAAGGAAUGGUUAAUUAAUAAAGAAAAGGUUGAGGGAGAUAACGGUAACGGAAAUAGGUCAGUAGUGAAGAAAAUGGGAGAGAUAAAAGAGGAAAGGAUAGAGAAUGGGGCAGGUGAAGUAAAGGUUAAGGUUAGGGGGGUGCACCUGUUUUUGAUGAUUUACGAAGAC
rnacentral:lncRNA from 1 species